AUUGAACGCUGGCGGCAGGCCUAACUCAUGCAAGUCGAACGAGUGGCGGACGGGGGAGUAAUGUAUGGUAAAAUGCCCGUUUUAGGGGGUUAACUACUGGAACCGGUAGCUUAUACCGCAUACCAUCGGAUCUCACCAGAUGGGAUUAGCUAGUAGGUGGGGUAACGGCUCUCCUUGGCGACGAUCCCUAGCUGGUCUGAGAGGAUGACCAGCCACCCUGGAACUGAGACACGGUCCAGACUCCUACGGGAGGCAGCAGUGGGGAAUAUUGCACAAUGGGCGCAAGCCUGAUGCAGCCAUGCCGCGUGUAUGAAGAAGGCCUUCGGGUUGUAAAGUACUUUCAGCGAGGAGGCGUUACUCGCAGAAGAAGCACCGGCUAAGUACGGGCCAGCCGCCGCGGUAAUAC
rnacentral:rRNA from 1 species